GGGAAAAAAAAGAAAUGUCCAGAACAAUGUCAAAGUCCAUCCUAAUGGAUUAUAAAGUAAAUCAAAAGAGUUCUUCUGGUGUAUCUGAUUCUGCUGGCCCUUGUUCUCCUAGUGCCUUUGAUGAUUCAGGAUCUCAGGUUAGCUAACACACCUAACCUCAUGUCAAUAUUAAAAAAUGUUUUCCUUUG